UAGUGCCAGUCUUCCUUCCAAAUCUUUUGAAUUGCCUGUCCUCACAAUAAGCCUAUGAAGUAUGUACUGUCCUGCAUUUUACAGUUGAGAAAACCAGCUUAUGGAAAUGAAGUGACUCAGCUGCAAGACGGUAAACCCAGGGCCCCCAGCUCUCAGUCGAAUGCUCUUUCCAUUGCAUCAUUACUUCACAUUGCUCAAUAUCAGUUCCUGGGUUAGCCUCCCUUCUACAUCCAAGGAAUAUUUCCAGGGGACUCACAUUGCCUCAGUUUCUCCUUUAUAUUAUGAAAGGAUGAAACCAACAGAUCAGUGUUUCUCAGUGUGGUCCACAGUCUAUUUGCAUCAGAAUUAUUCAGGCUAGGAAAUUUUUGUGAAGCUUCUCUUUGUCCUCAGAGUCUAGCAUUCAUUCAUCCAUUCAACUAUUACUGAGCAUCCUGGGUGCCAGCUGCUGUGCUUGGCCCCAGAGGGACACAGCAGACAUUGGGAUCCUCACCUUCAGAGCCAGGUGGGGACAAGUUAAGUAGUGGAGACAGAGAAGCAAACAGCUAAUAACAAGAGUGACACAUGCUCCAAAAGAGGAAGUGCAUGGAACUACGGAAGCCACUUUCUUUGGCAAAAUCUCAAUGAUCUGUUUUGAGAAUAAGCAUAGCACAUUGAAGGAUGAAUGGCAAAAAUGAGGCAUUAAGUGUAAACAGGAGCCAGAUGGCAAAGGGCCUACUCUAUAAAUAAAUUUGGAUUUUAUUCGAAGGUCAAUGGAAAACAACUGAAUAGUUUUAAGUACAGGAAUUAUUUGAUUUUUGUUUUUUAGUAUCAUGCUAGCUUCAGCAGGUAGAGCUGAUGGGAGGAGGUAAGACAGGAAGGAGCUGCAUAGUCCAGGUAAGAAGUGAAUAUUAGGUUGGGAGAGGCAUACAGGGAGUUUAAAAUAUAUUGAUAAAAUUGCAUUUCUUUCCCUGCAUGGUAGGUACAAAAGCAUCCUAUUCUUUAUACCUUACAUUUAUACUGCACAAAUUAUGUAGUAUGUAUGAAAUAGUUCAUUUAAAAACAUAUAGAACUCAUAGGGGAAAAAACUA
rnacentral:lncRNA from 1 species